rnacentral:rRNA from 1 species
UACGUAGGGCGCAAGCGUUAUCCGGAAUUAUUGGGCGUAAAGAGCUCGUAGGCGGUUUGUCGCGUCUGCCGUGAAAGUCCGGUGCUCAACUCCGGAUCUGCGGUGGGUACGGGCAGACUAGAGUGAUGUAGGGGAGACUGGAAUUCCUGGUGUAGCGGUGAAAAUGCGCAGAUAUCAGGAGGAACACCGGUGGCGAAGGCGGUCUCUGGGCAUUACCUGACGCUGAGGAGCGAAAGUGUGGGGAGCGAACAGG